GAUGAACGCUGGCGGCGUGCCUAAUACAUGCAAGUCGAGCGAACGGACGAGAAGCUUGCUUCUCUGAUGUUAGCGGCGGACGGGUGAGUAACACGUGGAUAACCUACCUAUAAGACUGGGAUAACUUCGGGAAACCGGAGCUAAUACCGGAUGAUAUUUUGAACCGCAUGGUUCAAAAGUGAAAGACGGUCUUGCUGUCACUUAUAGAUGGAUCCGCGCUGCAUUAGCUAGUUGGUAAGGUAACGGCUUACCAAGGCAACGAUGCAUAGCCGACCUGAGAGGGUGAUCGGCCACACUGGAACUGAGACACGGUCCAGACUCCUACGGGAGGCAGUAGUAGGGAAUCUUCCGCAAUGGGCGAAAGCCUGACGGAGCAACGCCGCGUGAGUGAUGAAGGUCUUCGGAUCGUAAAACUCUGUUAUUAGGGAAGAACAUAUGUGUAAGUAACUGUGCACAUCUUGACGGUACCUAAUCAGAAAGCCACGGCUAACUACGUG
rnacentral:rRNA from 1 species